rnacentral:rRNA from 1 species
CUUUAGUGGCGGACGGGUGAGUAACGCGUGGGUAACCUGCCUUACACAGGGGGAUAACACUUAGAAAUAGGUGCUAAUACCGCAUGAGCGCACAGGACCGCAUGGUCGAGUGUGAAAAACUGAGGUGGUGUAAGAUGGACCCGCGUCUGAUUAGCUAGUUGGUGAGGUAACGGCCCACCAAGGCGACGAUCAGUAGCCGGCCUGAGAGGGUGGACGGCCACAUUGGGACUGAGACACGGCCCAAACCCCUACGGAAGGCAGCAG